CAAACAUUUCCAGUAUAAUUUAGUGUAAAAACUACUGUUACGUCCAAAGACGUAUAUUUUGUCUUGUCUUGUGGUUGCUGUUGUCUCCUGCUCUCCUGUGGCUCCUCCCACUGUCUUCUCUCAGGUCACCUAAUUGCUUCCUCCCAGCUGCGCCUGUUUACCAACCGGAAGGAAAGGAGUUUAAAAGCAGAGCAGAAGGUUCUGUCAGCGAGACCUUUUUUCUCCAAGAGCAUGAUCCGUGUUCUGCCCAGCCCGGCGUAUGGAAUUCAAUGUUGGGCUUAUUAUCCAAUGUUAUAGUGAUCAGUGACUUUGGUUCUUAUUGUUCUUUUGUUAUCGUGUGUAAUUUUGGGAACGGUAGGGAGGAUUAUACACGACCACAGCCUCAAGGGUUUGACUGCAACACCAUCAGAAAUCUCCCUGUAAUGGAUUCAAGAUGGGAUUGAAUUAAAUCAUGUGCUGCUGAAGGCUGUUUAUCCAAUUACUGCUUGACCCUUUAUACUCAUUUUAGUCACAAUAUGUUCUAUAUGUAUGGUAUUUUAAUGAUAAAGCAAACUGCACUCAUAAGUGUUUAUCAACCAUCGAAAUCAGCUGCUUUUAAUAGAAUGCGCUGUAUGAUGAGUUUCCUGUUAUAAUUACUAAUUAGGUGCUUAGCAAGUGAUAAGCAGUCUAAUGGCUUUUUGUCAGAAUGUGAGACCGCAAACACUGGACUCUAAAAUGUAUAAAGGCUAACAGUGAUGCUAACAUGAGGAACGAUGUUGCAUGAGUUUCCUAUUGUUAGUUCUGCUCCAGUAAUCUGAUCGCUCCAGCAGUUUUACUGUGUAUAUAUGAAGUGUUUAUAUAUCGAUUAUUUGGGAAAAUUUACUAUUGAGGAUUAUCGCUUUUGGCUUGUAAGGUGCCGAGGAAAAGGAAGAAAGUACACCAAUUUCACAAGAAGCACCUUUAAAAGAAAUGAUAAUAAAAAAAAUUAUAUUAUAUUAUA